rnacentral:lncRNA from 1 species
AAAUACUGAAGAUCACAAUCACUAGGAAAGAAAUAUGACUGGUAUGAAACUCUUAAAAGAGGACACCUACUCAGAAUCAUAAUAUAACACAGCUAGGAUCCACAAAAUCAUUCAGAACCUCAGAGGUGAAACCAAUUCAGAAUCAAGAGACGAGGAUGAACAAACCAUAUAAAAAAUUUCAGAGGUGACACUACUGAAGAGUCAAAAGGCAAGGAUCACAAGCCAUGUAAAAUUUUAGAAUCAGGAGGCGAAGAUCAAUAUGAUAUUAGACCACUCAAAAGAUGAAUGAAUUCAAACCAGUAACACCCAAAGGAAAUAAGGCAUAUAGCAAGCAGAGACGACUACUUAACCUAAUUCAGGAUGAGAUCGUGG